CGCCGUGUGUGUGUGUGUGUGUAUGUAUCUAUCAAAAUGUAUCUAUCUAUAUAUAUACAUACAUAUAUAUAUAUAUAUAUAUAUGUAUAUAUAUAGAUAGAUACAUACACACACACACACACAUACAC
rnacentral:miRNA from 1 species